GGAGCUGAUAUCAGGCACGCCCAAGACAUCUAGCUANGCCACACCCCCAAGGGCCUUCAGCAGUGAUUAACAUUAAAAAUUAACGUAAGUUUGAUUUAGUUAGCGAAAACAGAGCCGGCUAAUCUGGUGCCAGCCGCCGCGGUUACACCAAGGGCUCAAAUUGAUUCGGCGUAAAGCGUGAUUAAAGUAGGGCUAAACUUCAACUAAGCUGUCGCACGCCUGUUUUUUGGAAAACCAUACCCGAAAGAUACCCUAACUUAUCAACUUGAACCCACGAUAACUAGAUUACAAACUGGGAUUAGAUACCCCACUAUGCCUAGUCGUAAACUUUAACUUACACCGCCUGAGAACUACGAGCAAAGCUUAAAACUCAAGGGACUUGACGGUGCCCCACAUCCCCCUAGAGGAGCCUGUCCUAUAAUCGAUACUCCCCGUUUAACCUCACCAUUUUUAGCAGCCUGUAUACUUCCGUCAUCAGCUUACCACAUGAGUGAGUAGGCCCAAUGCCAAUAUGUCAGGUCAAAGUGCAGCUCACAGAAUGGGAAGAGAUGGGCUACACUCUCUAAUUUAGAAAACACGAAAGUCUAUGUGAAACAGAAGGCGGAUUUAGUAGUAAANNNANAAAGAGUACUCUUUUUAACUUGCACUGGGGCGUG
rnacentral:rRNA from 1 species